rnacentral:snoRNA from 13 species
AGCAGAUAUUAAUGAUGUGAAAAGCAUUGGGAAUCUCUCUGACAAAAAGUGAAAGAGACGUGUUGUUGCUGAAGCUGCG